rnacentral:rRNA from 1 species
AGUGAACGCUGGCGGCGUGCUUAACACAUGCAAGUCGAACGAGAACGGGUUAUAGCUUGCUAUAAUUGUCAGCUAAGUGGCGCACGGGUGAGUAAUGUAUAGGUAAUAUGCCUCUUACUAAGGGAUAACAAAUGGAAACGUUUGCUAAUACCUUAUACUCCUUAUUAACAUAAGUUAAUAAGGGAAAGAUUUAUUGGUAAGAGAUUAGCCUGUAUUGUAUCAGUUAGUUGGUGGGGUAAUGGCUUACCAAGACUAUGACACAUAACUGGUUUGAGGAGAUGGUCAGUCACACUGGAACUGAGACACGGUCCAGACUCCUACGGGAGGCAGCAGUGGGGAAUAUUGCACAAUGGACGAAAGUCUGAUGCAGCAACGCCGCGUGGAGGAUGACACAUUUCGGUGCGUAAACUCCUUUUAUAUGAGAAGAUAAUGACGGUAUUAUAUGAAUAAGCACCGGCUAACUCCGUGCCAGCAGCCGCGGUAA